ACAAACCAGCGGCACAUACCGUAUCCAAGCAACUUUUUCAAUUUGCAAAAGAAAUAAAAAUAGAAAGGAAAAAACGUGAUAGAGAGGAUCUGAUUCAUCUUCAUAAAAUCAUUUCUCGUUGCCUGGAUGUUAAAUGAUAUUGAUUUCUUCUCUUGAAAACCCAUUCACCUUUUUUUUUAUACUCUACUUAUAAUAUAUACCCCUUUAUCUCCACUUUUGCCUUAAUUUCAAAGACUACUCCUUCAUUCUCCUCUUCAUGUAACAUACACCAUACUUUUCUCCCUCACUGUAACUAACAUAUAAACCAUCCAACAUAAACUAACAUCAUAUCACUCCUUCUCAUUUUCAUUAAAAAAAAAAACUUCUUCAAAGAAAAAGAGACUUUCGCACACACACAUAUAUAUUCAUCUUUAGUUACUGUAUAUGUAUACUUCUUUUUUUUUUUUUAAUUUUUACACAUUUAUAUUUCACCUUUAGUUAUAUAUAAACGUUG
rnacentral:lncRNA from 1 species